AUGAAGGGGGGCAGCAUGGUGUAUACAAUUGCUCUUUUGUUCGUCGGGUGCCUAGUCAUGGUUGGACAAUGUCGUCCUGAGCCCGAUAGCACAUACGAAGAUGGCCAUCGCAACGUGGCUACGGUGCUCUCAUCAUUAGAUGACAACAAACUUACAUUGCAAUGGUGUGUCGCAAGGGAUUGUGUGACCAAAGGUGAACCGCAUGCCAAUCAUUGCUUUUGCUGCCUCAAUGCGCCGGGAGCACCUUGUUUUAAUUCCAGAUUGGAUUGUCAGAGUCAAUGCCCAACUAUGCCACCAGGAAAAUAA
rnacentral:rRNA from 1 species